rnacentral:rRNA from 1 species
CCUACGGGAGGCAGCAUUGAGGACUAUUGGUCAAUGGCCGCAGGUCUGAACCAGCCAAGUCGCGUGAGGGAUGACGGUCCUAUGGCUUGUAAACCUCUUUUGUCAGGGAGCAAAGGGCGCCACGUGUGUCGUUUUGCGCGUACCUUAAGAACAAGCAUCGGCUAACUCCGUUCCAGCAGCCGCGGUAAUACGGAGGAUGCGAGCGUUAUCCGGAUUUCUUGGGUUUAAAGGGUGCGUAGGCGGACUGUAAAGUCAGCGGUAAACUCGAGAGGCUCAACCUCUCUCCGCUGUUGAAACUGUCGGGCGUGAGAGGGCGAGAAGUAGGCGGAAUGCGUGGUGGAGCGGUGAAAUGCAGAGAGAGCACGAAGAACUCCGAUUGCGAAGGCAGCAUACCGGAGCGCGACUGACGCUGAGGCACGAAAGCGUGGGUAUCGAACAGGAUUAGAUACCCGAGUAGUC